rnacentral:rRNA from 1 species
UACGUAGGGGGCUAGCGUUGUCCGGAAUUACUGGGCGUAAAGCGUGCGCAGGCGGUUUUGUAAGCCAGAUGUGAAAUCCCCGGGCUUAACCUGGGAAUGGCAUUUGGGACUGCAAGGCUUGAGUGCGGCAGAGGAGACUGGAAUUCCUGGUGUAGCAGUGAAAUGCGUAGAUAUCAGGAGGAACACCGAUGGCGAAGGCAGGUCUCUGGGCUGACACUGACGCUCAUGCACGAAAGCGUGGGGAGCAAACAGG